UACGAGGGAUGCAAGCGUUAUCCGGAAUUAUUGGGCGUAAAGCGUUUGUAGGCGGGCGAGUGUGUUUAAUGUUAAAUCUUAAAGCUCAACUUUGAAAUUGCGUUAAAAACUGCUUGUCUUGAGUAUGGUAGGGGUAAAGGGAAUUCCCAGUGUAGCGGUGAAAUGCGUAGAUAUUGGGAAGAACACUAAACAGCGAAGGCACUUUACUAGGCUAAUACUGACGCUGAGAAACGAAAGGUAAGGUAGCGAAACGGAUUAGAUACCCGUGUAGUCUUACCCGUAAACUAUGGACACUAAACGGUAAAUUUUUAAUUUACUGUUAAAGCUAACGCGUUAAGUGUCCCGCCUGGGGAGUAUGCUUGCAAAAGUGAAACUCAAAGGAAUUGACGGGGGCCCGCACAAGCGGUGGAGCAUGUGGUUUAAUUCGACGGUACACGAAGAACCUUACCAGGAUUUGACAUGCUAGAUAGUUGCUUGAGAGAGUAACGUGCCGUAAGGAAUCUAGACACAGGUGGUGCAUGGCUGUCGUCAGUUCGUGUUGUGAAAUGUUGGGUUAAGUCCCGCAACGAACGCAACCCUUGUCUUUAGUUAUUUUCUAAAGAGACUGCCUGUAAUAAACAGGAGGAAGGUAAGGAUGAGGUCAAGUCAUCAUGCCCCUUAUGUCCUGGGCUACACACGUGCUACAAUGGGAAAGACAAUGAGCUGCAAAUCUGUAAAUUUAAGCAAAUCUCUUAAACUUUCUCGUAGUUCGGAUUGUGGGCUGCAACUCGCCCACAUGAAGUUGGAAUCGCUAGUAAUCGCCAGUCAGCUAUAUGGCGGUGAAUCCGUUCCCGGGCCU
rnacentral:rRNA from 1 species